GUUUUAAAGGUAUUGCACCGUGUUGGUAAAAGUCGAAGAGGUAAAAUUAGAUUUCCUUAAUUUUAUAGUUUUUGGAUACACUUAUGAGGGUAGAACGCACCCCCGCCAAAAAAAAAUCGCUCUGAAAUGCCUGUAUUUUCGAGAAAUCGCGUGUUUAGUGUUGAUUUUGGUUAUUUAUCUGGUACUCGAUAAAUACGGCUAAUUCGCUUGAUGUUGAAUAUCUCAUGGAUAAAAUUGUUUCUGAUCUUACUGUUAUAAUGUAAUGAUGAGGCUCAGACAGUCAUUUGUAAGCUUGGUAGUAGCAACUAUUUAAAGGCAGUCACGCAGGGGAUUUCCUGAUUAAUUUCAGCCGCAGAUGGCGACACACAAGUACGGUCACGAAGCUGUUUACCGAGCGGAAUUGUACGUGCGCGGGUGUCCAGUUUCUGUACGUGCGUAUGCGCACCAUUCUCAGUCAUAUCAUGUCACUGCACUGUCAGUGUCAGUAUCAGACCUGCAAAACAGUCUGUCUGAUCUGUCCUGACACUCUAAAUUUGCUCAAGUCAAAUUUUCAGUUUCAAAAUCAAAGUGUCCAGGGCUGUCAGUAUCACUGCAGCGAGUGUCAGCAGGUCAGUGUCCCUGUCAGUGUCACUGCAGCGAGUGUCAGCAGGUCGAGUGUCACUGCAUUGCAAAAAUACAUCAAAGACCAAGCUUUGUGCGCAAGAUAGCAAAUAUAAUUCAAACUUAACGUUCUAAUAAAGCCUCUAGAGACGAUCGGAUAUAUAAUAAAACAAUUACCGGUGACGAGAUCUCGAUAAAGACAAACACCAAAAUUUACACCGCACAUGAAAGUAGACGUGCAAUCGCGAUCGCAGGUUGCAGCGUACAGCAUGCAGCAGUAAUUUUCGGUCUUGUUUACGUUUGGUAGUAUAAAGCGCGGCCGAGUACAACAGCUGUUCAAUUCAGUAGUAUACUAUAACUAGACCCUCUAUAAGAAUCCAGAUUAUAAAUCUACUAACUAAUUUAUAGCUUAUACAGUAUAUUAUUAGAAUGUGAAAAAAAA